rnacentral:rRNA from 1 species
AUUGAACGCUGGCGGCAGGCCUAACACAUGCAAGUCGAGCGAGCGGCGGACGGGUGAGUAAUGCCUAGGAAUCUGCCUGGUAGUGGGGGAUAACGUCCGGAAACGGGCGCUAAUACCGCAUACCAUCGGAUGUGCCCAGAUGGGAUUAGCUAGUAGGUGGGGUAACGGCUCACCUAGGCGACGAUCCCUAGCUGGUCUGAGAGGAUGACCAGCCACACUGGAACUGAGACACGGUCCAGACUCCUACGGGAGGCAGCAGUGGGGAAUAUUGCACAAUGGGCGCAAGCCUGAUACAGCCAUGCCGCGUGUAUGAAGAAGGCCUUCGGGUUGUAAAGUACUUUCAGCGGGGAGGCGUUACCCGCAGAAGAAGCACCGGCUAACUCCGUGCCAGCAGCCGCGGUAAUAC